rnacentral:tRNA from 1 species
GCCGGGGUGCCCGAGUGGCCUAAGGAGAAAAACUCCGGCCAGAGGGGUCGGCCUGGAGAGCCGAUGCCUCGUCAGGGGCGCCCGGGUUCAAAUCCCGGCCCCGGCGCCA